rnacentral:rRNA from 1 species
UACGUAGGGUGCGAGCGUUAAUCGGAAUUACUGGGCGUAAAGCGUGCGCAGGCGGCGCGUUAAGACAGGUGUGAAAGCCCCGAGCUUAACUUGGGAAUUGCGCUUGUGACUGGCGUGCUGGAGUGUGGCAGAGGGAGGUGGAAUUCCACGUGUAGCAGUGAAAUGCGUAGAGAUGUGGAGGAACACCGAUGGCGAAGGCAGCCUCCUGGGCCAGCACUGACGCUGAGGUGCGAAAGCGUGGGGAGCAAACAGG